rnacentral:rRNA from 1 species
AUGGAGAUGCGAAGUGCCUCCAUGGUCGAGUCCACCGUCAGCAUCCAGCCUCCCAAGUUCUGGGCCGCGGUAAGCAGCAGCUGGAUGGAUGCGGUUGUCGCCUCACUCUCCUUGCGCAUCUACGCAAUCUCCGCCACCACCUUCUCCAUGAUCACCCUGGACGCCUCCGCUCGGAUCCCGCGCCCCAAAAUCUACCGACCCGUUGCUCUCCUGAUGGAUAGGAGAAAAAUUUCCCCCAAUCCGGCCUCACACGGGGAUUUACCUGUUGAUUCUGAGGAUGUUGCGGAUCAAGAUGGCUAUGAUACCAGAUCUCACGAUCUCUCACUUGAUUAUACACCAGAUUCAAUGCGGGGUCGCGGCGUCACACCGGAAUUGGGGAAGAAAUGUUGA